rnacentral:rRNA from 1 species
UACGUAGGUGGUAAGCGUUGUCCGGAAUUAUUGGGCGUAAAGCGCGCGCAGGUGGUUUCUUAAGUCUGAUGUGAAAGCCCACGGCUCAACUGUGGAGGGUCAUUGGAAACUGGGGAACUUGAGUGCAGAAGAGGAAAGUGGAAUUCCAAGUGUAGCGGUGAAAUGCGUAGAGAUUUGGAGGAACACCAGUGGCGAAGGCGACUUUCUGGUCUGUAACUGACACUGAGGCGCGAAAGCGUUGGGGAGCGAACAGG